UCUGGAAACUGUCUGACUNGAGUGCAGAAGGGGAGAGUGGAAUNCCAUGUGUAGCGGUGAAAUGCGUAGAUAUAUGGAGGAACACCAGUGGCGAAAGCGGCUCUCUGGUCUGUCACUGACGCUGAGGCUCGAAAGCGUGGGUAGCGAACAGGAUUAGAUACCCUGGUAGUCCACACCGUAAACGAUGAGUGCUAGGUGUUAGGCCCUUUCCGGGGCUUAGUGCCGGAGCUAACGCAAUAAGCAUUCCGCCUGGGGAGUACGACCGCAAGGUUGAAACUCAAAGGAAUUGACGGGGGCCCGCACAAGCGGUGGAGCAUGUGGUUUAAUUCGAAGCAACGCGAAGAACCUCACCAGGUCUUGACAUCCCGAUGCUAUUCUUAGAGAUAGGAAGUUACUUCGGUACAUCGGAGACAGGUGGUGCAUGGUUGUCGUCAGCUCGUGUCGUGAGAUGUUGGGUUAAGUCCCGCAACGAGCGCAACCCUUAUUGUUAGUUGCCAUCAUUAAGUUGGGCACUCUAGCGAGACUGCCGGUAAUAAACCGGAGGAAGGUGGGGAUGACGUCAAAUCAUCAUGCCCCUUAUGACCUGGGCUACACACGUGCUACAAUGGUCGGUACAACGAGUUGCGAGCCGGUGACGGCAAGCUAAUCUCUGAAAGCCGAUCUCAGUUCGGAUUGGAGGCUGCAACUCGCCUCCAUGAAGUCGGAAUCGCUAGUAAUCGCGGAUCAGCACGCCGCGGUGAAUACGUUCCCGGGCCUUGUACACACCGCCCGUCACACCACGAGAGUUUGUAACACCCGAANUCG
rnacentral:rRNA from 1 species